ACCCAGCUGACGCGUCCCAAGUAGGACGAAACGCGUGUCCUGGAU
rnacentral:hammerhead_ribozyme from 1 species